GACGAACGCUGGCGGCGUGCUUAACACAUGCAAGUCGAACGGAAAGGCCCUGCUUUCGUGGGGUGCUCGCGUGGCGAACGGGUGAGUAACACGUGAGUAACCUGCCCUUUACUUUGGGAUAACUUCAGGAAACUGGGGCUAAUACAGGCUAGGAGCUCCUGCUGCAUGGUGGGGGUUGGAAAGCUUCGGCGGUUGGGGCUGGAUUCGCGGCUUAUCAGCUUGUUGGGGGGGGAGUGGCUUACCAAGGGUUUGACGGGUAGCCGGCCUGAGAGGUUGGCCGGCCACCUUGGUACUGCGGGACGGCGCAGACUGCAAUGUGAGGCAGCAGUGGGGAAUCUUGCACAAUGGGCGGACGCCUGAUGCAGCAACGCUGCGUGCGGGAUGACGGCCUUCGGGUUGUAAACCGCUUUCGCCUGUGACGAAGCGUGAGUGACGGUAAUGAGUAAAGAAGCACCGGCUAACUACGUG
rnacentral:rRNA from 1 species